CAAACAAAAAAGUCACCUCUCUCUCUCAGGCUAACUAAAGACUAGCAAAAAAUAGCAAGAAAUUCUUCUUUUAGGUUUCCAUCUUUAAGUGGAGAAAUUCUUCUUUUAGGUUCCCAUCUUUAAGUGGAAGGAGAUACUUGGAAUUUGAAGAAACUAGCUAAAGAAGAUGGGGAGAGGAAAGAUUGUGAUUCAAAGGAUCGAUAACACAACCAGUAGGCAAGUGACUUUCUCCAAACGAAGGAAUGGAUUAUUAAAGAAAGCCAAAGAGCUUUCUAUUCUUUGUGAAGCUGAAGUUGGUCUUAUGAUCUUUUCUAGCACUGGCAAGCUCUAUGAGUUCUCAAGUCCCAACAUGAAAUCUAUAAUCGGGCGAUACAACAAGUCGAAGGAGGACCAGCACCAUCCAUUGAUGAAUGCAAAUUCAGAAGCCAAGUUCUGGAGAACGGAGGCAGCAGCCUUGAGGCAUCAAUUACAAAACUUGCAAGAAAACCAUCGGCAAUUGAUGGGUCAAGAGCUUUCCGGUUUGAGCGCUAAAGAGCUACAAAAUUUGGAAAAUCAAUUGGAAAUGAGUUUGCGUGGUGUCCGUAUGCAAAAGGACCAAAAGCUAACCGAUGAGAUACACGAGCUAAACCGAAAGGGAAACCUCCUUCACCAAGAAAACAUGGAACUAUUCAAGAAGGAACACUGUAUACGUCAACAAAACAUGGACUUGUUAAAGAAGAUCAACGAAACGAGAGAUGCAGAUGAGUCAAAUAGGAUUUCUCAUUCUAAAAAUGCCUUUAAUCGUGAGGAUGAAUGUUUUAAACUCCAGUUAAGCCAACCACAACAACAAAACUAUGCCACAAGGCCCACACCAGAAAACCCUACAACGCCUAGCUGACAACAACUGCAAUGAUGAAUGGGUGUUACAAUUCUGGGAGCAAAUUUCCCUCUAAGUCUGCCAGUCUCCGAUGUCUGGUGGGCGCCGACCGAUCUUACCGCCAGAUCUCCUAAAAUCCUUCAUUAGAUUGUCCAAAGGUUCCAAUAUGUUUCUUGAUGUGAGGUGUGAUUUUCAAAAUAGAUAAGAUAUAUUGAAAGUACAGAACCUUUAUAUUUGGUUAGACGAUAGUUACAAAAUGACUACUAACUCAAAAGUAAUGACUACUAACUCAUAUCGUCUUCUCCUAGUGAGAAGGGUAAAUCCAA